rnacentral:rRNA from 1 species
UACGGAGGGUGCGAGCGUUGUCCGGAAUCAUUGGGCGUAAAGGGCGCGUAGGUGACCCGGUCAGUUCGUGGUGAAAGCGCGGGGCUCAACUCCGCGUCGGCCAUGAAUACUGCUGGGCUUGAGCACUGUAGAGGCAGGCGGAAUUCCGAGUGUAGCGGUGGAAUGCGUAGAGAUCCGGAAGAACACCGGUGGCGAAGGCGGCCUGCUGGGCCAGUGGC